rnacentral:rRNA from 2 species
UUAAGCGACUAAGCGUACACGGUGGAUGCCCUGGCAGUCAGAGGCGAUGAAGGACGUGCUAAUCUGCGAUAAGCGUCGGUGAGGUGAUAUGAACCGUUAUAACCGGCGAUUUCCGAAUGGGGAAACCCAGUGUGUUUCGACACACUAUCAUUAACUGAAUCCAUAGGUUAAUGAGGCGAACCGGGGGAACUGAAACAUCUAAGUACCCCGAGGAAAAGAAAUCAACCGAGAUUCCCCCAGUAGCGGCGAGCGAACGGGGAGGAGCCCAGAGCCUGAAUCAGUGUGUGUGUUAGUGGAAGCGUCUGGAAAGGCGUGCGAUACAGGGUGACAGCCCCGUACACAAAAAUGCACAUAUUGUGAGCUCGAUGAGUAGGGCGGGACACGUGGUAUCCUGUCUGAAUAUGGGGGGACCAUCCUCCAAGGCUAAAUACUCCUGACUGACCGAUAGUGAACCAGUACCGUGAGGGAAAGGCGAAAAGAACCCCGGCGAGGGGAGUGAAAAAGAACCUGAAACCGUGUACGUACAAGCAGUGGGAGCCUCUUAAUGGGGUGACUGCGUACCUUUUGUAUAAUGGGUCAGCGACUUAUAUUCUGUAGCAAGGUUAACCGAAUAGGGGAGCCGAAGGGAAACCGAGUCUUAACUGGGCGUUAAGUUGCAGGGUAUAGACCCGAAACCCGGUGAUCUAGCCAUGGGCAGGUUGAAGGUUGGGUAACACUAACUGGAGGACCGAACCGACUAAUGUUGAAAAAUUAGCGGAUGACUUGUGGCUGGGGGUGAAAGGCCAAUCAAACCGGGAGAUAGCUGGUUCUCCCCGAAAGCUAUUUAGGUAGCGCCUCGUGAAUUCAUCUCCGGGGGUAGAGCACUGUUUCGGCAAGGGGGUCAUCCCGACUUACCAACCCGAUGCAAACUGCGAAUACCGGAGAAUGUUAUCACGGGAGACACACGGCGGGUGCUAACGUCCGUCGUGAAGAGGGAAACAACCCAGACCGCCAGCUAAGGUCCCAAAGUCAUGGUUAAGUGGGAAACGAUGUGGGAAGGCCCAGACAGCCAGGAUGUUGGCUUAGAAGCAGCCAUCAUUUAAAGAAAGCGUAAUAGCUCACUGGUCGAGUCGGCCUGCGCGGAAGAUGUAACGGGGCUAAACCAUGCACCGAAGCUGCGGCAGCGACACUAUGUGUUGUUGGGUAGGGGAGCGUUCUGUAAGCCUGUGAAGGUGGCCUGUGAGGGUUGCUGGAGGUAUCAGAAGUGCGAAUGCUGACAUAAGUAACGAUAAAGCGGGUGAAAAGCCCGCUCGCCGGAAGACCAAGGGUUCCUGUCCAACGUUAAUCGGGGCAGGGUGAGUCGACCCCUAAGGCGAGGCCGAAAGGCGUAGUCGAUGGGAAACAGGUUAAUAUUCCUGUACUUGGUGUUACUGCGAAGGGGGGACGGAGAAGGCUAUGUUGGCCGGGCGACGGUUGUCCCGGUUUAAGCGUGUAGGCUGGUUUUCCAGGCAAAUCCGGAAAACCAAGGCUGAGGCGUGAUGACGAGGCACUACGGUGCUGAAGCGACAAAUGCCCUGCUUCCAGGAAAAGCCUCUAAGCAUCAGGUAACAUCAAAUCGUACCCCAAACCGACACAGGUGGUCAGGUAGAGAAUACCAAGGCGCUUGAGAGAACUCGGGUGAAGGAACUAGGCAAAAUGGUGCCGUAACUUCGGGAGAAGGCACGCUGAUAUGUAGGUGAAGCGACUCGCUCGUGGAGCUGAAAUCAGUCGAAGAUACCAGCUGGCUGCAACUGUUUAUUAAAAACACAGCACUGUGCAAACACGAAAGUGGACGUAUACGGUGUGACGCCUGCCCGGUGCCGGAAGGUUAAUUGAUGGGGUUAGCGGUAACGCGAAGCUCUUGAUCGAAGCCCCGGUAAACGGCGGCCGUAACUAUAACGGUCCUAAGGUAGCGAAAUUCCUUGUCGGGUAAGUUCCGACCUGCACGAAUGGCGUAAUGAUGGCCAGGCUGUCUCCACCCGAGACUCAGUGAAAUUGAACUCGCUGUGAAGAUGCAGUGUACCCGCGGCAAGACGGAAAGACCCCGUGAACCUUUACUAUAGCUUGACACUGAACAUUGAGCCUUGAUGUGUAGGAUAGGUGGGAGGCUUUGAAGUGUGGACGCCAGUCUGCAUGGAGCCGACCUUGAAAUACCACCCUUUAAUGUUUGAUGUUCUAACGUUGGCCCGUAAUCCGGGUUGCGGACAGUGUCUGGUGGGUAGUUUGACUGGGGCGGUCUCCUCCUAAAGAGUAACGGAGGAGCACGAAGGUUGGCUAAUCCUGGUCGGACAUCAGGAGGUUAGUGCAAUGGCAUAAGCCAGCUUGACUGCGAGCGUGACGGCGCGAGCAGGUGCGAAAGCAGGUCAUAGUGAUCCGGUGGUUCUGAAUGGAAGGGCCAUCGCUCAACGGAUAAAAGGUACUCCGGGGAUAACAGGCUGAUACCGCCCAAGAGUUCAUAUCGACGGCGGUGUUUGGCACCUCGAUGUCGGCUCAUCACAUCCUGGGGCUGAAGUAGGUCCCAAGGGUAUGGCUGUUCGCCAUUUAAAGUGGUACGCGAGCUGGGUUUAGAACGUCGUGAGACAGUUCGGUCCCUAUCUGCCGUGGGCGCUGGAGAACUGAGGGGGGCUGCUCCUAGUACGAGAGGACCGGAGUGGACGCAUCACUGGUGUUCGGGUUGUCAUGCCAAUGGCACUGCCCGGUAGCUAAAUGCGGAAGAGAUAAGUGCUGAAAGCAUCUAAGCACGAAACUUGCCCCGAGAUGAGUUCUCCCUGACUCCUUGAGAGUCCUGAAGGAACGUUGAAGACGACGACGUUGAUAGGCCGGGUGUGUAAGCGCAGCGAUGCGUUGAGCUAACCGGUACUAAUGAACCGUGAGGCUUAACCUU